ACAGAGGGUGCAAGCGUUAAUCGGAUUUACUGGGCGUAAAGCGUGCGUAGGCGGUUCAGUAUGUCGGUCGUGAAAUCCCCGGGCUUAACCUGGGAACUGCGGCCGAAACUGCUGGGCUUGAGUGUGGUAGAGGAAGGUGGAAUUCCAGGUGUAGCGGUGAAAUGCGUAGAUAUCUGGAGGAACACCGAUGGCGAAGGCAGCCUUCUGGGCCACAACUGACGCUGAGGUACGAAAGCGUGGGUAGCAAACAGGA
rnacentral:rRNA from 1 species